GCCAAGCGCGGGGGCUCUGCACACGUGAUCUUCCUGUCCCUAGAGCUGAGCAGCCGCUGGCCCCUCUCCUUGAUCCAGGCUCCCAGCCAGUGCAGGGCACAGUCGCAACGCCACGGGUUCUCUGUGGACAGAGCAGUGGUGGAUGCUGUCACUUGGAAAUGACCCCCGUACCCAACUUCCGACCCUGACCUGGUCUCAUCUUUCCAGUGUUUGCCGACCUGCCGUCUGAUGGGUCCAAAAUAUUCAAGCCCCUCACCUGUCUGUUCUGUUCAGGAACUUCUACCUUUUCUGUGUUUCUCAGACAGGGUCCCUGAGAUAUGCCCCUACCAGCCUGACCCCUAACAGCCUUCCACCAUGGCUGCCGGUGGUGGCAUGGCCCUCCAGACCACUGCCGGAUCGACUUGCAACUCAGAGUCACUGUCAUUAAAGCCCCCUCUAUGCCUGGG